UCCGUAGGGUGCAAGCGUUGUCCGGAAUUAUUGGGCGUAAAGAGCUCGUAGGCGGUCUGUUGCGUCGGCUGUGAAAACCCGGGGCUCAACUCCGGGCCUGCAGCCGAUACGGGCAGACUAGAGUUCGGCAGGGGAGACUGGAAUUCCUGGUGUAGCGGUGAAAUGCGCAGAUAUCAGGAGGAACACCGGUGGCGAAGGCAGCUCGCUGGGACGUUACUGACGCUGAGACGCGAAAGCGUGGGGAGCAAACAGG
rnacentral:rRNA from 1 species